rnacentral:rRNA from 1 species
GGGGACUCUGGAAAGACUGCCGGCGUAAGCCGUGAGGAAGGAGGGGAUGACGUCAAAUCAUCAUGGCCUUUAUGCCCGGGGCUACACACGUGCUACAAUGGGGGGUACAGCGUGCAGCAAGCUAGCGAUAGCAAGCGAAUCACUUAAAGCCUCUCCCAGUUCGGAUUGGAGUCUGCAACCCGACUCCAUGAAGUUGGAAUCGCUAGUAAUCGCGCAUCAGCCAUGGCGCGGUGAAUACGUUCCCGGACCUUGUACACACCGCCCGUCAAACCAUGAAAGUUGGGGGUGCCUGAAGACGGUGGCCUUAUGAGGAGCUGUUGAAGGUAAAACCGAUAAUUAGGGUUAAGUCGUAACAAGGUAGCCGUACCGGAAGGUGCGGCUGGAAUACCUCCUUU